CCUCAACAGAGGUGGGAACCAGGCGUGAGGUCCUGUUCCCCGUAAUGUAUGGAGGUAGGAAAAGGGGAUCCGGUCCUCUCGGAGUCAUGUCUUUGGUGCUUGCGGCCUCCUGUUCGAGAGUUCUAUCCUCAGACACCGGAACACCU